UGUGCUGAAGAUGAUUAUCUCGUUGUUAGUAAUUGUACUGAGGGAAAGGAGAAGGGGAGGGAGACAACUUGGAGUUUAGGGGGAAGCUGGAACCUCUCUUGUCUCCAGCAGCUGGUGAAAAAAGCAGGAGGCAAAAUCACAUUUCCUAACUGUCCCCAAGCCCACAAUCUAGUAUUGAAAACCAACCUCAUGACUGUGGACAUACUUUGUCACGUAUCUCCCAUAGGCCGUGCGUUUCUGUUUGGGAAGAGGAGGGAGAGAGGGGAAAGGAAGAGGGAUGACUCAUGAGUGCUGAACUUUUGAGGAAAGCACAGCUGUAAUCCCAGACCGUCUGACUGGGGAGAUUGUUCUGAACAGUGCUUACUUAUGUAGUGCUUUCCCUUCAUCCUCCUCCACCUUGAAAAAAUCAGUCAGUUCUGCCACACAAAGCAAAAGAGAAAAGAUUUCCAGGAAUAUAAUUAAUGUUUUAAGCAAGAGAAGUCAUCAGUCCCGUUACUACGCGUCUUCCAAAGGGAUAAGAUCUUGUGUGGAACAGAAGCGGACAGAGAUAAGAUACUUUGGAAGACGACCGUGUGUUUGAUGUAGGAAGCUGGUUACUUCAUAUCGUGCGACCUCUUCUAGAUCCCCUGUCUCAGAUCAAACAUGAUCUUACCUUUGUAAUGGUAUGAGGACAUGCUUUGUCUGGUACCUAUAAGUGGAAGAGAACCAGAAAGAAGUCGGUGCCUGAGCUAUCUUUUUAAAACCAUGUUCUAAAAUACUGUGGCUUAUUAUCAGCUAGGAAAACUGUGCACAAAUGAAAGCAUUGCUGAAACUCUGGUGACUGGAUACUGGAUGACGACAGCUCUCUCUGCCCUAACGUCUUUCAGUGAUUCUUGUGUUCCUAGUAAAGUCUGUGACAAUUAA